rnacentral:lncRNA from 1 species
UAUCAACUAGCUACAUAGUAGGAAGCCAUUCAAAAGGAAGAUGCAGAUAAGCAGUUUUCAAGCCUUUUUAAACCAGCUAAAAAUCUUCUGCAGAACCCAAAAUCACAGAGGAAAGUAAAGAGAACGGCUUUGCUGUAAUCCAAGAGGGGGACCUGAAACGCUGUCCAUGUGUUCUCUUGGGUGUGGGCCAGACACUUCCAUAUCCCAAGUUCUCUGGAGCACAGUUUAAAAACCAUAUUAUAUGUCAACAUGUAAUCAAUGGUUUUCUGUAGAUGAUGAAAUUAAUCUUUCUUUCAUUUUUUUCUCUCUGUAUUUUUUUAAAUUUCCACAAAAAUGUAUUUUUAUAAAUAGCAGAAAAUAACAAUUGUUUUCAAGUGACAUAUAUAAGGAAGCCGAAAAAAGUAUAGAACUCAGCUUUCUGACUCUUACUGGGGAACAAAUAAGUGACAAAAUAAAGUGAUCCAUUUUGGGUUAUGUGAGAACAGAGGAUUGUAGGAGAGAGAUAUUUGGUCUUUCCUAAUUCAAAGGCUCAUGUUUACUUUUCCUUCACCUGGAGAUAGCAGGGAUUAACAGAUGUUUAUUUUAACUCUGCCCUAGACACCCUGCAAUAGCUCCCAGCAGAUACAGUGGCCAAAUCUGCUCUCCCACUGUUUAAGAUUGAAGAACAAGACUGACUUCAUUUUGGGAACUCGGGGGGCUCUUGUUACUUAACCUAAUGGGCACUGAGGGUGGUCACUUUUGAGAGAAUGAUGUAAAUUACCUGCAGCAUUUCUACCUGAAACCUGUUCCACCCUUUCUUUUUCUAACAUGCCAUCAUCUCCUUUUAAACUCUGAAUCUCUGCCAGCUCCUUUGUUCAAGUGCUUCUUAUUCCAGUGCUGUUUCCUAGGCUGGCUUUCCAGUCUUCCUGAUUUCCCAGCAGGCUACAGCCAG